AGCGUGUCCUGUGGAUGGAGUGGCGGUGCAAGUUGUUAGUCAUUAUUUACAACUAAUUUUUGUAUUGAAUAGUUUCAUGAAAUUAGCAUUUUUCCUCCAAUUUAUGGUUCUUUUUGUAGGAAUUAUACAUAUUUUUAUGUUUAGUUUGAUUUUAUACAGUAGAUACUCUCAUUCUGUGAAUUAAUGAUGAAACCACUUCGGUUUCAGACCAAAAGAAGAGAAGGUCAAGCAAUUGGUGUCUCACUAAGCGAUGCAUAUGCGCUUAGCGAGUGACAUCCGCUAAGCGAGGCAUUCAGCUCGCUUAGUAUGAAGGGAAACCCUAGAAGAUGAUCAGUCAGAGAUGUGCUCGCCCAGCGCGCCGCAAGCUCGCCCAGCGAGUAGUUUGUCUCUUCUCGCGCUCAGUUUGCUAAGCCAAAAUUCACUAACUCGCACUUAGCGAGCCAAUCUCACUAAGCGAGCCUUUAGAAUCUGAAACGUCAAGGUGUCUUUAAAACACUGAAGUUGGCAGAAACUAAAGAGGGGAGUCAAAAAACAGAGCCAAGGGAGAAGCUAGAGCGAUAAAAACAAGCCUCCAAAGAGAGUUUAGGUUAGAGGAAUGAGAUUAGGUUUCUAGAGGUUGGAGGAGACAUCCUCAACCAUUCUUAGCCACUUUCUUUUCUCAAAAUCUAUCCUUUGUGCUGAAAGUUCAUUGCUUGUAAUGGAAAGCUAAACCUCUUGUUGGAGAGUUUUGUUGAACCUUUGAUGUAAAACUCUCUUACUAUCUAAUUAAUGUUGUUUUUAUGUGUUCAUUGCUUCUAUCUAUGCUUAUUUUUGCAUGCUUGUGGCUUGAUCACCCAUUUGUAUGUAUAGUUAGGAUUUUUAGUACUGGCAAGUGCUUUAAAACCUUAGAACUUGAUAGAGCAAGUUAGAAAACUGUAUGUUUAGGAAUGAAGUGCAGCGAUCUAGUCAUAUUUAUGUUGUAAUCAAGGACAAGGUUUAAAUAAAGUUAGACCCAUUCACUCGAGGGAUCUUGGUUUAGGUAAUUUCUCAGCAUAAGAACAUUAUGAUAACAUUAAAUAGAGAAAAAUAUUUAAUAACAUCAAAGGGAAUUCAGUAGGAUGACCCAAUGCGCUUUUUCUUGACUGUUUUUACUUCUCAAACUCUAGAUAUUUUGCUUUGUGUUUAAUUAGAUAUUUAUACAAAAAUCCAAGUUAAUAUUUACGUGCUUUAUAUAAAUGUUUGUUCAUUUAACAUAUAUUUUCUAAGUGAAACAAGUUCCCUGUGAUUCGAAACUCGGUUCUUACCGUUUUAUAUUACUUGUGUGACUUGGUUCACUUUUCGAUUAGUUUGCCAAAGAGCGAACACAAGUACCGCAAGUACCUAGAGCAUGUGGGUUCUAAUGGUUAUACUCGUGAAUGGUAAUGACUUCUGCUCGAGGGGGAGGCUACCAUGUGGAAGAGACUCACAGUUAAGGGGGAAAUUAUUGUAGUACAAGUGUGAGGUGAAGUCCCACAUCAAGUAGAAGUGAAAAAGUUGAGUACCAUAUAAGUGAGGAGAAGACCCACAAACCUGAGCCUUAAGGUUUUGGGUUAAAGUGUGGUGUCAAGUUUUCUUAUGUGGUUAUAAGGAAGUUUUUGCGCAUGCGAGGAAGAAUGCAAUAUUUACUUAGGG
rnacentral:lncRNA from 1 species